rnacentral:rRNA from 1 species
AACGAACGCUGGCGGCAUGCCUAACACAUGCAAGUCGAACGAGAACUUCGGGUGUAGGGGCGCACGGGUGCGUAACGCGUGGGAACAUGACCUUAGGGUCGGACUAACUCUCCGAAAGGGGUGCUAACAGCGGAUAAUGUCUUCGGACCAAAGAUUUAUCGCACUUGGAGGGGCCCUAGUUGGAUUAGGUUGUUGCUAGGGUAAAAGCCUAUCAAGGCCACGAUUCAUAGCUGGGCUGAGAGGAUGAUUAGCCACACUGGGACUGAGACACGGCCCAGACUCCUACGCGAUGCAGCAGUGGGGAAUAUUGGACAAUGGGCGAAAGCCUGAUCCAGCAAUGCCGCGUGAGCGAUGAAGGCCUUAGGGUUGUAAAGCUCUUUUACCCGGGAUGAUAAUGACAGUACCGGGAGAAUAAGCUCCGGCUAACUCCGUG